CUACGGGGGGCACCAGUGGGGAAUAUUGCACAAUGGGGGAAACCCUGAUGCAGCAACGCCGCGUGGAGGAUGACACAUUUCGGUGCGUAAACUCCUUUUAUAGGUCAAGAUAAUGACGGUAGCCUAUGAAUAAGCGCCGGCUAACUCCGUGCCAGCAGCCGCGGUAAUACGGAGGGCGCAGGCGUUACUCGGAAUCACUGGGCGUAAAGAGCAUGUAGGCGGGUUAAUAAGUCAGAAGUGAAAUCCAAUAGCUCAACUAUUGAACUGCUUUUGAAACUGCUAACCUAGAGUGUGGGAGAGGUAGAUGGAAUUUCUGGUGUAGGGGUAAAAUCCGUAGAGAUCAGAAGGAAUACCGAUUGCGAAGGCGAUCUACUGGAACAUUACUGACGCUGAGAUGCAAAAGCGUGGGGAGCAAACAGGAUUAGAUACCCUGGUAGUC
rnacentral:rRNA from 1 species